rnacentral:lncRNA from 1 species
UGUCACUAUGGGAUUGAACCCUCUCAUACUUUUAAUUACUCUAUGCUCUUACCUAACCCAAUUCACACUGUCAACGUCAAGACAAAAUUAAACGUAAAUAUUGAAAAUUUAAGGGUAUUGAAAUAUGGAAAAAUUACUGGUACUUCGCUCGAAAGGUAUGGCACGACCUUACUGCGACGAAUGUAAAUCCUUGGUGGACCUGGAAUCUUUUUAUACCCAUCGCAGGAAUUUGGGUGCCGACGACUCACGGACAUCCUCGGAACCAAUCGUUGAAUAAAAAUGCAAUUGGGAAAACUUCAUGAAAAUAGAGUUUUUCUUCAUGAAAACGAUACGGAUUUAUAGGCUAUGACCUUAUAUGGUGAAAACAGCGGGACAAAAACUGGCCACAUGUGUACAAGAAAUCCGGCUUUUCAGGAAAACCGCGGGAAACUUAAUCAUGAUUUAUAUUAUAUUUUGCCACACCGGGCAUGCCCCUUCAUUUAACAGGGCUUCCCAAGUUUCAGGCAUUUGUAGUUCUUUAUUAUCCUAAGAAUAACCAGGGCUGAAAACAAGAAGGCCAGAGACUACAACAUAGUCAACGGAGAACUAGGCAUAACCUAUAAGAAAUCAAACCUUUCCAGGAUACUAUCAGGCUAGAAACCUCUUUAAGUUGGUUUCUUUAUGUAUGUUCACAAUUAUAAACCCCUCAUGACUCACAGGUAAAGCUUAAAAUGUAUCUUUUUGUUAUGUAAAUUAUAAAUUUAGAGGUUAAAAUGUUAACGGAGCAAAAUUAUCUAAGUUGUCUUAUAAAAGACUGCCUGGGCUUACCCUUAUUACUAUAAAAUAAAGACAAAAUCUUGUAACUUCGUUACAAUAGUUAUAUCAUACUUCUGACAUCUGUCAACAUCUGACCGUUAAAUAUGAAGCAUUUUUACUGUUUUACUCAAAAAGAUUAUAUAAUUUUUAUGUAAAUCAUUAUUAUUAUACAAACGAAUAUGCGGCCAAUAUUAUGUUUAUUGUCAAUAAUGUAAUGAUAUUAACAACGCCGACAAUAACAGCUAUUCUUCGUCAUUUCAAUGAUGAUACAAGCGGCAUACAGUAUGACAUCUCUGGAGACGCAUAAGAGAUAAGGGAAUUCUCCGGAUAGUGGUUUGCAUCAGAGUAUAUAAGUUGCCGUGUGGCCGCUGAGAGGCCAGUUGAUAAUUCAUUUUGGAUUAUUGGCGCACUAUUUAAAUCGGACAUAGGUAGUAGUCGGACAAAUAGUUUUAGUAGUCCUAAGUGUUGGUGUUUAGUAGUGUAGGUGUGGAAAUAAAUUAGCUGACUAUUUUUGUGCAUCCAGUACUUUAAUGGACAUCUUAACGAACGGUAAAAACGCAACAAUAAUUUCUUCGAAAAUAUUUCAACAUUUAUAAUUAUUAUAAUACACCAUGAAAAUGACAAAUGUUAUAUCCAGUUUUUUUUAAAUUAUUAUAAUUUGUAUCAUGGUAAUGUAACAUGAAGGCACUAAAAAUUAAAAAAAAAUAACAAGCAGAUUGAAACUAAAAAACAAUUUUAUAUUUGAGAUUGUAUUAUUGUAUUGCUUUGUAACUUUCUCUGUGCAAAAAAAUAUUACAUACCAGUGCCUUGAAAUAUUACAAAUCGAUUUAAUUUAUGACAAAUAUUUACUUUUGAUC